AAAUUUUGUGGCUUUUCGAGCUGUUUGGAUCUAAUCUAAUCUGGGUUCUUCUGCUUCCGCCAUUUAUUGCAAGUUUUUUCUUGAUUUCGUAUAGGCAAGAAUUUCAUAGACCAUGAGCAGAUGGCUUAGCAAAAUUUUUAAAGGCUCCAGUCAUCAUACCUCAGAUCGCCAUUAUAACGGAAAUUAUGGAGAGGAUCCUAAUUAUUAUGCUC
rnacentral:misc_RNA from 1 species